UGGGGAAUAUUGGACAAUGGGGGGAACCCUGAUCCAGCCAUGCCGCGUGUGUGAAGAAGGCCUUAUGGUUGUAAAGCACUUUAAGCGAGGAGGAGGGUACUGGUAUUAAUACUACCAGGUACUGGACGUUACUCGCAGAAUAAGCAUCGGCUAACUCUGUGCCAGCAGCCGCGGUAAUACAGAGGGUCCGAGCGUUAAUCGGAUUUACUGGGCGUAAAGCGUGCGUAGGCGGCUAAUUGAGUCGGAUGUGAAAUCCCCGAGCUUAACUUGGGAAUUGCAUUCGAUACUGGUUAGCUAGAGUGUGGGAGAGGAUGGUAGAAUUCCAGGUGUAUCGGUGAAAUGCGUAGAGAGCUGGAGGGAUACCGAUGGCGAAGGCGGCCAUCUGGCCUAACACUGACGCUGAAGUACGAAAGCGUGGGGAGCAAACAGG
rnacentral:rRNA from 1 species